AUUGAACGCUGGCGGCAGGCCUAACACAUGCAAGUCGAGCGAGCGUCGGACGGGUGAGUAAUGUCUGGGGAUCUGCCUGAUGGCGGGGGAUAACUACUGGAAACGGUAGCUAAUACCGCAUACCAUCAGCUGCACCCAUAUGGGAUUAGCUGUUAGGUGGGGUAACGGCGCCCCUAGGCGACGAUCCCUAGCUGGUCUGAGAGGCUGACCAGCCACACUGGGACUGAUACAGGGCCCAGACGCCUACGGGAGGUAGCAGUGGGGAAUAUUGCACAAGGGGCGAAAGCCUGAUGCAGCCAGGGCGCGUGUAUGAAGAAGGCCUUCGGGUUGUAAAGCACUGUCAGUCGGGAGGCGUUACCGACAGAAGAAGCACCGGCUAACUCCGUGCCAGCAGCCGCGGUAAUUC
rnacentral:rRNA from 1 species